UACAGAGGUCUCAAGCGUUGUUCGGAUUCAUUGGGCGUAAAGGGUGCGUAGGCGGCGCGGUAAGUCCGCUGUGAAAGUCGGGGGCUCAACCCUCGAAUGCCGGUGGAUACUGUCGGGCUAGAGUGCGGAAGAGGCGAGUGGAAUUCCUGGUGUAGCGGUGAAAUGCGCAGAUAUCAGGAGGAACACCUAUUGCGAAGGCAGCUCGCUGGGACGUUACUGACGCUGAGACGCGAAAGCGUGGGGAGCAAACAGG
rnacentral:rRNA from 1 species